AUUAUUCGCAGAACAGAAGAGGUAAAUUGGUAUCAGUUUAAUAUCUGAUACGUGGGCCAUCGGUCCACAUGAUAUUAAAUUAAUUUUUUAGGGGGAGAGCUCACCACAGUAGCUUGCUGCUGAACCUCUCGCGCGUCGCCUAAGCGUUGCACUACAGCUUAGGCCGGGCGCUCCCCAC
rnacentral:snRNA from 2 species